CCCCUAGAUGUUCUGGGCCGCACGCGCGCUACACUGAACAGUUCAACAAGUCUUAACCUUGGCCGAUAGGUCUGGGUAAUCUUUGAACGCUGUUCGUGAUUGGGAUAGACCUUUGCAAUUAUGGGUCUUCAACGAGGAAUUCCUAGUAAACGCAAGUCAUCAACUUGCAUUGAUUACGUCCCUGCCCUUUGUACACACCGCCCGUCGCACCUACCGAUUGAAUGGUCCGGUGAAGCCUCCGGAUUGGCGCGCACCUCGGUGCCGCCGAGAAGUUGGCUAAACCUUACCAUUUAGAGGAAGGUGAAGUCGUAACA
rnacentral:rRNA from 1 species